rnacentral:snoRNA from 3 species
UUGCACAGUGAACACCCAAGUGUGCUUUGUAGUUCCCUUGGUUUAAAUUCUGUGCUAGAGUAAUCUGUGCUUUUCCUCUGCAUUAGAAGGACUGGCAUUCCUUUUAUAUGUAUUCAGAAGGACAGAACAUUU